rnacentral:rRNA from 1 species
AGCGAACGCUGGCGGCAGGCUUAACACAUGCAAGUCGAGCGGGCACUUCGGUGUCAGCGGCAGACGGGUGAGUAACACGUGGGAACGUACCCUUCGGUUCGGAAUAACGCUGGGAAACUAGCGCUAAUACCGGAUACGCCCUUUUGGGGAAAGGUUUACUGCCGAAGGAUCGGCCCGCGUCUGAUUAGCUAGUUGGCGGGGUAAUGGCCUACCAAGGCGACGAUCAGUAGCUGGUCUGAGAGGAUGAUCAGCCACACUGGGACUGAGACACGGCCCAGACGCCUAGGGGAGGCAGCAGUGGGGAAUAUGGGAGGAUGGGCGCAAGCCUGAUCAAGCCUGGCGGCGUGAGUGAUGAAGGCGUUAGGGUUGUAACGCCCUUUUGCCAGGGACGAUAAUGACGGUACCGGAAGAAUAGGCCCGGGCUAACUUCGUG